rnacentral:rRNA from 1 species
UGGGGAAUAUUGGACAAUGGGGGGAACCCUGAUCCAGCCAUGCCGCGUGUGUGAAGAAGGCCUUAUGGUUGUAAAGCACUUUAAGCGAGGAGGAGGGUACUGGUAUUAAUACUACCAGCUACUGGACGUUACUCGCAGAAUAAGCACCGGCUAACUCUGUGCCAGCAGCCGCGGUAAUACAGAGGGUGCGAGCGUUAAUCGGAUUUACUGGGCGUAAAGCGUGCGUAGGCGGCUAAUUGAGUCGGAUGUGAAAUCCCCGAGCUUAACUUGGGAAUUGCAUUCGAUACUGGUUAGCUAGAGUGUGGGAGAGGAUGGUAGAAUUCCAGGUGUAGCGGUGAAAUGCGUAGAUAUAGGAAGGAACACCAGUGGCGAAGGCGACCACCUGGGCUCAUACUGACACUGAGGUGCGAAAGCGUGGGGAGCAAACAGG